GACGAACGCUGGCGGCGUGCUUAACACAUGCAAGUCGAACGGUGAAGCGCCUUCCUUUUUGGUGGGUGUGGAUGAGUGGCGAACGGGUGAGUAACACGUGAGUAACCUGCCCCCUUCUUCUGGAUAACCGCAUGAAAGUGUGGCUAAUACGGGAUAUUCUGGGUCUGUCGCAUGAUGGGUCUGGGAAAGAUAUUGUUUCGGUGGGGGAUGGGCUCGCGGCCUAUCAGCUUGUUGGUGGGGUGAUGGCCUACCAAGGCGGUGACGGGUAGCCGGCCUGAGAGGGUGGACGGUCACACUGGGACUGAGACACGGCCCAGACUCCUACGGGAGGCAGCAGUGGGGAAUAUGGCGCAAUGGGCGCAAGCCUGAUGCAGCGACGCCGCGUGAGGGAGGGAGGCCUUCGGGUUGUGAACCUCUUUCGCCAGCGAAGCGGGCCUGCCUCGUUUGUGGGUGGGUUGACGGUAGCUGGAUAAGAAGCGCCGGCUAACUACGU
rnacentral:rRNA from 1 species